AGAGAUGGAAGCAAGUGGUUUCAGUGGGCCAAUUCCUCCUAGUAUUUCUACCUUGGCAUACUUAAGAGAGUUAAGUAUAACUGACUUAAAUGGGGAGAACUCAUCAGAUUUUCCCGACUUGAGUAAAAUGACAGACCUUUCUAAGUUGACAAUGAGGAGCUGUAAUUUAAGAGGAAAUAUCUCUGAACAUAUUCUUUAUUCGAGAAGGCUAGAUGUCUUGUAAUUGUUCGAUUAUUCUCUUGUCAAAUUUUCUAUUCCUGUAUAGCAUUUCCUUGGAAUUUAAACACUUAAUCUUUAGCGAAUUUAACAGACAUCUAAGAUCU